rnacentral:lncRNA from 1 species
AGAGAGCCUCGGCUAGGUGUGGAAACAGGAAGAGAACUAGAACUGGAAGUAAAGCAUUGAAGAUGUGACUGAAUUGCUGCAAUCUCAUGAUCAAAUUUGAAUGGAUGAGGAGUUGCUUUUUAGGGAUGAGCAAAGAAAGUGGUUUCUCGAGAUGGAAUCUACUGGUGAAGUUGCUGUGAACAUUGUUAAAAUGCCAAUAAAGGAUUUAGGAAUUACAGAAACCUGGUUGAUAAAGCAGUGCCAGGGUGUGAGAGAGUUGACUUCAAUUUUGAAAUAAGUUCCACUGGCUGGGUGUGGUGGCUCACACCUGCAAUCCCAGUACUUUAGGAGGCCGAGACUGGUAGAUCAUUUGAGGUCAGGAGUUCAAGACCAGCCUUGCCAACAUGGUGAAACCCCACCUCUACCAAAUUAGCCAGGUGUGGUGCACACCUGUAGUCCCAGCUACUUGGGAAGCUGAGGCAGGAGAAUCUCUUGAACCAGGGAGGAGGAGGUUGCAGUAAGCCGAGAUGGCGCCCCUGCACUCCAGCCUGGGUGACAGAGUGAGACCUUGCGUUUAAAAAAAAAAAAAAAGGAAAAGGAAAAAAAAGUUCUACUGUGGGUAAAAUGCUAUCAUGCUAUCAAACAGCAUCACAUGCUACAGAGAAGUCUUGUGAAAGGAUGUCAGUGUGGCAAACUUCAUUGUCUUUUAAGAAAUUGCCACAGCUAUCGUAAUCUUCAACCACCACCACCCUGAUGAGUCAGUAGCCAUCGUUAACGUUGGCGUAAGACCCUCCACCAGCAAAAAGAUUGUUAGCAUUUUUUUAGCAGUGAUGUAUUUAUCAAUUAUACAUAAUGCUAUUGUACACUUCUUAAUAGACUAUGGUAUAGUGUAACCAUAAUUUAUGCACUGGGAAACCAACAAAUUCAUGAGAUUCGCUUUAUUGUAGUGCUCUGGAAUUGAGCCUGCCGUGUUUCUGAGGUUGCUCCUUGAGGGCAGGACAGUUCUUAUGGCUUUAUCCGUUGCGUAAGCACAGAGAGGUCUGCGAGGUCAAAACUAUUGUCAUGAUAGCAAGAUGCCUGUCUUUUUCAUUUAUUCUCACGGUGUGCAGAGGCUACAUGAUGUGUGAUGACAUCCUCAUUGAUGUUAAUGAAUGGUGCUAUACUUGAAUUUUCUAAGGUGUCAUUAGCAAUUCUCCUGCCUCAGCCUCCUGCAUAACUGGGACUACAGGGAAGCACCAUUUUCCACAAAACUCUCAAGAAGGACUUGUUGCAACUGGAAAAGCAAUUAAAUGUGAAUCGUGAUCCAGGAGAAAGUAACAACUCACAUAACUCCCAAAUUAAAAGUUUUCCAAAGAUAUAUCAUUUUUUUUCUCUUGGCCUUUUAAGAAACUAGCCAACAAAUACUCUUGACAGGUUUGUGUUUGGUUUUGAAAACACACACCUUAGUGUACUGAAAGAAAAACAAUUUCUUUUAAUUUGGUUUGUUGGUCCCACACCCCAUCUAUCAAUGUAUGUGCUAUUUACAAAUAAGUUCUAUACAGUAUUUUUGCAGUACCUUUGAUAAUUCCUAGACCUCUAUUUUCAUUCUGUGUAUUAAUGUGAAUAACAGAUGGAUAUUUUAAUAUUUAAGGCAGAUGGUAAACUUUCCUAUAGGUCUUGUGAGACUUCGUCUUAUAGGCUGAACACCAUUCACAAAAUGUAAUAAUGCUUCAUUCCUUCAGGUUGAGGUAAAGAACUUGAGCAACUGGAUUAGCAAAGCUGCAAAGAAUGAAAUGUGGCCUAAGAUGUAAUUAUGUUCUCUGCCCUUCCUUUGGGCCAGGGUAGUUUUGCACUUGACACAAUGGAAAAUAGGCCAUAAAGCCUGAAAAUAAAAUGUUCUAAACCCCAA